rnacentral:rRNA from 1 species
AUGUGGCAUCGACGAAGCACUACACCUAGCUUGCUCGUCGGCGCGCGCACGCGUGCUUGGAUGCGCGUCGCUUCGUCGAGCUGGCCGGACCACAGCAAUCACUGGAGUCGGAGCUGGAGGAGGAGACGAGAUGCUGCUGUUGCGGCUGCAUCCUCGGAGGCAGCAGUUGCCUCUCACCGACCUCACCAACCUCCGGCGUUCGCCAUGAGCUCCGCGCAGGACCCCUAUUACAUCGUCCAGGAGGAGAUCCAGGGUUGGGAUGCUGGUGCAUGUGGUGGUGAUCCUCCUGUUAGGAGGUAG